UCCCCUGUGUGGCGGCCAGCCAGAUGCCGACACCCAGCACGCCACAGCCUCCCAGCUGGGGCACAGCAACAUGAGAGACACAGACAGGAUGGAGUCUCACCCUGUUGCUCAGGCUGGAGUGCAGUGGCACCAUCUGGGCUCACUGCAACCUCCUCCACUUCCCAGGUUCAAGUGAUUCUCCUGCCUCAGCCUCCCAAGUAGCUGGGACUACAGGCAUGCCCCACCACACCCGGUUAAUUUUUUGUAUUUUUAGUAGAGAUGGUUUAGCCACAAUA